CCUACGGGAGGCAGCAGUGAGGAAUAUUGGUCAAUGGGCGCGAGCCUGAACCAGCCAAGUAGCGUGAAGGAUGACUGCCCUACGGGUUGUAAACUUCUUUUAUAAAGGAAUAAAGUGAGGCACGUGUGCCUUUUUGUAUGUACUUUAUGAAUAAGGAUCGGCUAACUCCGUGCCAGCAGCCGCGGUAAUCCGGAGAAUCCGAGCGUUAUCCGGAUUUAUUGUGUUUAAAGGGAGCGAAGAUGGGUUGUUAAGUCAGUUGUGAAAGUUUGCGGCUAAACCGUAAAAUUGCAAUUGAUACUGGCAGCCUUGAGUACAGUUGGGGUAGGCGGAAUUCGUGGUGUAGCGGUGAAAUGCUUAGAUAUCACGAAGAACACCGAUUGCGAAGGCAGGUUACUAAACUGCCACUGACAUUGAUGCUCGAAAGUGUAGGUAUCAAACAGGAUUAGAUACCCGAGUAGUC
rnacentral:rRNA from 1 species